GCUUAAUCGAUUCGUCCCCUCUUUGUGCGACGGCGACUCGGUGACGUAUCAGUUUCUUCUCACGAUCUGUAACGAUCCGACUUAUGGCUUAUAUAUUUCAGUGUUUAUCUUCUCACUUCGAAACCCUCGCGCUUCCAGUUCUCCAUCUCAUCAAGAAAUAAAAAUCAAUCAACGAUUUCACUCCAUUUGGAAAGCGUUUCAGAUAGUAUAUGAUAUGGUAAUGCAGAUCUAUACGGGGCCAUCGAGCUCAAGGAGACUGGGCUGCUGAAGGAAUAUCUGUUUGGAGACAACACAAAGCUGUCGUAUCUCAGAAUCGCUGAGCAUCAUAGCCUGCUUCGUACCUGGCUUUGUGUUUCUGUAAUCAAGCAAUGUCGUCGAGAGCUUCAGGGUCCAUGCUUCCUUGCGCCAUCCCACUAACCUCUCAAAUUUUGAUAGAUCUUCGGUCUACCACUGUAUGUCCAGUGUUUUUGAUGUUCAAGCCAUCCAAAUUCACCAGAAAUUAGUUGGGGUGGGUGUGGAGCCUAACGUCAUUCUUACCACCAACAUUAAUCCCAAGUUUGUUGGAGGUCACAACCAUCUCCCAACACACUCUGUAAUGUUUUGCCUAUAUAAUUUUUUGGAUACGCACUAUGCUUAAUUUGCAGGAUGCAUAUUUCUGAAUGCAACAUGAAGGACUUAUUACUUGGACAAUGAAACGUUAGCAAGUGAAACCUUCUUGGCUGGUUUGGGUGAGUCUAGGGCUAACUCAUCUACCAGUGCCACAUAAUAUGGUGGUGUGAAGAAACUUGAGUCCGUAAUGGUGGCCGGGCUAAAUGCAUACUUCCUCAGUUCUCAUCUGCAUUUAUUAACCGUUUGUGGUCCACCCUCCUAUAAGUUACCAUAUCUUUUGAGUUAGUAACGUCUCUAGCUGCAUUGCACACUGCACUGAUGAGUUUCUUUGCAUGAACAAAGUUGAGAGCAUUGAGACAAGCAAUGGAUGAAGCUUACAUGUGUGCCCUGCAUCUGCUCAGAUGGUGACAAGUUAGCUGAAACUUACACUGCUACCGGGAGCGGUGAGGCCCCGGUGAACCAAAACGCCUACACUCAAUGAACCCACAACAUCUACUCAAUCAACUUUUGGCGGGCCCUAGGCAUCGGAACCACAUGUUGCAUCAAGGCAGAGGGCACUGGAAAAAUCACGCAAUGCUUAGAUGUAUAAGUUACCCAUAUGAAUAGUUUUCUUGAUUUUUAAAUCUUUGUUUCCACUGUUUUUUUCUAAAGCAUGUCUGCUUUUUGUUUC